rnacentral:lncRNA from 1 species
GUCCUGUGCAAGCUGAUAAAUAGUUUAUACCCACCAGGACAAGAGCCCAUACCCAAGAUCUCAGAGUCAAAGAUGGCUUUUAAGCAGAUGGAGCAAAUCUCCCAGUUCCUAAAAGCUGCGGAGACCUAUGGUGUCAGAACCACCGACAUCUUUCAGACGGUGGAUCUAUGGGAAGGAAAGCCCAGCAGAAUCGGAGAGGCUUUUCCGAGGAGCAGCUUCGCCAGGGACAGAACGUAAUAGGCCUGCAGAUGGGCAGCAACAAGGGAGCCUCCCAGGCGGGCAUGACAGGGUACGGGAUGCCCAGGCAGAUCAUGUAGGACGCGGCAUCCUGCCCCUGGUAGAGAGGACGAAUGUUCCACACCAUGGUCUCUACGAAAAAGAAAUAGUUAGUCACCUUCUGACCUUCUCCUCUUUCUCAAAGCCUUCUGUCCCUGGUUUUUGCAAGUGCUGCAUUUCCGCCGAGAAUCCGCGUUGCCUACUGCUGCCACCUCCUGUUCAUUUAGAACUAUGCAAAGACUCCGCUUCCGUUUUCCUGAGCUCCUCGGGCCCCAGAGUCUCUGUUUGAUUAUUUAUUUAUUUAUUUAUUUAUUUGCCAAAAAUUCUCCUCUUCAACUUAUAGAAUGCACCUAAUAAAGUAAUUAGUCUUGU